UUUACAUGCACUGAACAUCUGUUGUGUUACAGGUUUAAACCAGUUUCUGAUCACUUAAACUGGUUUGUGUCUAAUGUCCUUCCCUAGCCUUGAUGUCUGCACAAGCAAGUUCCUGAAGAAUCCAGGUACUAGGGACAAGUCUGAACCAAGCACUGUUAUUGAGCUUAUCACAUGAGCAUUUAUUCCAAAACCUGCAACACUGAAGGAGGAUACAUAUCUGCUUGUGUAUUUCACGUUACUAAAACACAAAUACAAGAGUCUACAGUAAGGAAACUCAAAGACUAUAUUUUUUUCCCCUACAGAAAAAUCAAGUCUGUUCAUUACAUCCAGUAAAUGCUAAAUUGAUAGAAGUUACUCAGUCUUGACACUUGCAUCCAUUUUCUAACUUUCACCCAACCUGUAACUUACACCCCCAUUCAUGUCAUCACCAAACUUCAUUGACCUUCAAUUUUAGUCUCAGCUCUGGAGCUCAAUCCUUUUGUGUCUUCCAGUCAGACUGCUCAUGCUAUUAAAGCAUAUUUUUUGUGGUUUACAAAUCAAUAUAACAUGGAACCUUCAGACUGCAGGCUCUCACUAAAGAAACGACCAUAUUCUCUGCCUGGGAGCUCACUCAGUUUCUAUUGAAGUCAAUAGGAGCCACAUGCAACCAUGCACAUAUGACUUUAAAAGUAAAUACUUGAUCAUUGCUAAGAUCAAAACAAUAAAACUGGCUUGAAUUUGUCAUACAUCUGCUUCUGUGAGUGUAAACUUGGAAAUAAGUGCAAGAUAAAAUAGCAUCUAGUUGAAUAAUGCUUAUUGUAACAGCAGUAACAAAACCUCCAUUGUGAUUUCAGUCUGACUACCAUUCUUCUAGUCAAGUGCAAACGUCUUUGAAGAUUUCAGGGUUUUCUUGUUUCAGUGAACGGACGCAGAAGACGGCAUGAGAACUGCAUCAGAGACACCAACUGGCGGCUUCGGCAGUGGUGUCUAGAGGCAGGCUUCGGCUUCCUGGACAACGACCCGCACAUUACGACGAGGGACAUGCUCAGUUGGGAUGGGCUUCACCUGUCCCUCAAAGGUUACGAAACGUCUGGACACAGGAGGAGGGGUGGAUGUCAUAUACUUAGACUUCAGGAAGGCCUUCGAUACAGUAUCCCACCCCAUACUGGUGAACAAGUUAAGAGGCUGUGACUUGGAUGACUACACAGUCUGUUUUGCUCCAUUGACUGGGAGGCCAGUUGAAGGCGUUCAGUUGCCAUUUUGGUGACAUUAGUUGCAGACCCAGGAAUUCAAAAAUUCAGAAAUUCAAGAAGUCAAGAGACCACUUAACAAGGUGGACCACAAGAAGGCUUUCACCAUCCACCCCAAGCAGUACUGUGCACCUGUCUGGGUCUCAGGUCAACAUACCAAACUCACUAACACACAACUCUCCUCAGUAAUGAGGACUCUCUCUAGAACUGUGAUAUCAGCUCCAGUGCUGUGGCUACCAAUACUUUCAAACAUUACUCCUCCCUCUAUUCAACGAGAUGCAGCAACAUACAAAGAAAUAAUGCAUAUCAAUAGUAAUCCUGACCUUCCCAUCCACAGAGACCUUCAGUAUCUCCCAGCUUGUCACAUGAUUUCAUGAAAAUCUUUUGGAUACAAACUGAGCACUUCCUAUACCACAACACUGAAGAAUCUUGGAGGAAGGCUUUGGCAGAAAACACUUUCCCAAAUAAACAACUUGUUUCGGACUGAAUGAUGCAGCGACAGGGCUUCAACCUUCCACGGAUCAUGUGGACAACCCUUAAUAGGAUACGCACUGGACAUGGCCAGUGUGGCCACCUGAUGUACAAGUGGUGCCUAAAAACCUCGCCUGGCUGCGACUGUGGAAACCCUGACCAAACCAUGGAGCACAUAACAACAUCCUGUCCCAGUUACAAGUUUGAGGACAACAUCCUGAAGUUACACUCACUUCCCAGCAGGGCAUUGGUCUGUUUGGGGAAUUUGGAAUUAAAACUGUGACGAUAGAUCUUGCUCCUAAAGCCAUACGAAAGAGAGAAGAAAAGAAAGCCUAUGCAUCACUGUCUACAGAUAGAUCUGUCUCUCUCAACCAAUAGACACAAACACAUUAAGGCCCUGUGGAUGUUUCUUGUCUCUUAUUUUCUUUAUUAAUCUAUUUCCUAGUUAAGUAGUUUAUCCUCUCUACUUAACAUAUAAAACACAAUGAAGGCCCAAAAUUCAAGUUUUGGUUUUAUUGCUUAUCCAUUAUAGUUGAAUUUGAGAGAUAAACUAAAAAAAAACUUCAUGGAGCUAUGAUAGAAAGAAACCAGUUACACAAAUUACAUCAUUGGUUGAUUUGAUUUUCCCAAGGCUAGGUUAGCUUCUAUAUAGUUCGAUGUGCCAGGACCAAAAAUUGGGAAACGUAUCAAGACAAAUAUUUUUUAAAAUGAAUACAUCUUGCUGCUUUGAGUUAUGGUAGUUUAAAAUAUAAACAACUAUGCAAAUAGGAAACAUAUUAGGUUGAAAAUCUAGAAACAUAACGUUGCAAAAGUAAAAACCAGGUCCUCACUUGGUGCAAGUCAGCAGACCCCCAUUGACCUCAAUGCACCUGUACCAUCUUCCAUAAAUUGACCAUUUGGCCCAUAUUGCAUAAACUCAGGGAAGUUUGGAGCUGAGCCUAAGAGAUGGUAUGUACUUAUAACACUGUUUGAAGAUGUUGGGAUAUAACUAAUGCAUGUUUAUUGAGAAAGAGUAAAAACGGAGUAUUCAGGAAAAUUCCCAUUUUCUUCAACUGAAAUAGAGUCACUAGUUUGCAAUGGAGACAUAAAACUAGCUAAAGUCAAUGGGAUCUCUUUGUGCUUGAGACACUUAAAGCUGAGUAAGGACUUAAUUAACUGAAACUCAUAGAAAAUGUGCCUUAAUUAAGACUGAAAAAAUGAUUUUUCAGACAUGAAUAUGAGAUAGGACCUUUCUCCACUUAUUUUUAAAAGGAAUGUGGACUUGUACAACACCCCCACCCCCCGCAAGUGAAUACUGGCAAAGACUUUAAUAUAUCACCCAAGCUGCUAAUGCUUUUCAGUUGGUGUCCUAAACAACAUGAAAGAAAUACAGGCAGAAGAAGUAGAUCCAUAGGUGGUUUGUUGGGAGGCCACACCCCCUUUCCAACCACACUCCAGGGUCUGCAGCUAGGGACUUUUAAGUUCUCAGAGCAGGCAAGAAUUCCCCCUUCCCUCCAUACUCAGAGGCAUGUCCCCUUCCCUCCACUGCCGCUGUCCCAGGGGCAGGGGAAGGCUCCAGAACUGUUCCUGCCUGCUCCAGAUGGGUUGCAAGGAGGCCAGGCUCAGCCCACGACAAUGGCAGCAGCAGGUAGAUUACCCCUCUCUGCCUGGUCCCCCUGGGCAUUCCCAUCAGCCCCAGAAGCACACACAGAAAGGAAGGCUGGGAGCAAACCUGCAGCACUUGUCACUGCUCCCACACCCACCUUUGCAAAAUCCUGGAUCUGCUUCUGAAUACAGAUAUCCUCAAUCCAUGCAAGAGGCCAUUAAAUGAUUCAGUGUGAAGUGGCUGAAACUAAAAGGAAAUAAUUGGUCCUUCAAUGCAAAGUUAACUCUAGCAAUAAUUGGAGUUUUACCCCUAAGCCAAGUCCAGUCUAGACACAAACAUUUAAUUUAACUGGCUGGCCCAAGAUAGGGUAUAGGUUGCUGUUUGAGGGUGCAGACAGAAGUGACAAUUUUCCCCUGAUCAGGCCCCUGAAAGUCCUGUCAGCCAUGACCAAACAGAAGGGCAUGGCUGCAAAGUGCUUUAAAAGGGCCUGAUCCCACAAAAAUCUGAAGACGAAGACGUUUCUAAAUACGGCAUCUUCAGUAACUUCCAUCUGCGCUGCCUCCCAGCCUGUCACUGUUUUCAGAAUGGGAGGGGGGAAAGAGAGUUCAGUCUGGGGUUUUUUCAAUCACACACUGGAUGGUGGCGUGGGUGGAUUGAGAUCCACAGCAUUAGGCUAUCAAAGCAAAAAAAAACAUAUGUAGAUGUUGUGGAUCACUGCUUCUUUCACAGCUCUUUUCUCUUGUCAUGAGUUUGAUGUGAGUACGAGUAUGCUCCCAGCCAGAAGCUAGAUUCCCUUCCCCUCUGAAACCAACAGUGAACUUCUGUUUGGUCGGGGGGAUCAUUGCAACUCAUAACACUUCCUGCAAAGUGUUCCGAGUUACAGUGGAGAGCUGCACUUCUGUCUGCACCCUGAGUUAUCACCAGUCAUCAGCUGCUAACACAACCUCUGCAACUUUGAGUGUUAGUUGGCAGUACAGCUGCUCUCUCUCACAUGAGCUUGCUUAACUCAAAAGAAGUUAACUUAAGUUCAGUUAACUCUGUAGGGGAAGAUAUUGCUAAACAUAUACCAAACAAAAUAUCAGCAGAUGAGCAUAACUUCUGUUACUAAGAGCUGAGGCAGACUUGCUUCAAAAGCUUCUUAAAGGAAAGUAACAGAUUCAUGUCAGUAAGUUAUUUUGAUUAAGAUUAUAACUUCUUGUUUAUGACUCUAAGCAAUGUUAAAGCUGGGACUAGUAUAUGCAGUUGAGACAAAAUUUAUUUACCCAAAGGGUAGUUGAAAUAUGCAACAAACUUGACAUGUGCAGCAAUAAAAGUAAAUAAUGUUGGUCAGUUCAAGGAAGAAGUAAAACCAUGUUUAUGGAAGGAAUCAGAGGCCACAGCUACUAACUGAGCUUUCAGGUUCACAAUGGUGAUAGAUUGGUUACUUAGAUUGUUUCAGGGUUAAUAAGGGUAAGCCUCAAUAGGUCAAUGAACUUUUCAUGUCUUGUAUAUGUUCUUGUGGUAUGUAAACUAACAACAUUAGGCUAUCAAAGCAAAAAAACCCUAUGUAGAUGUUGUGGAUCACUGCUUCUUUCACGGCUCUUUUCCCUUGUCAUGAGUUUGAUGCGAGUAUGAAGCAAGUGCUGGAUGUAAAACACUGACAAGUAAAGUAUUUAGUUUUGACCUGCUCACAAUUGAGUAGAAAGGGCCAUAACGAUGAAGGGCAAGAAAUAAGAACUAAAAUGAAAAGUAAAGAGACAACUGAAAAAAUAUUAAAGCCUGAGGUCUUCACCCUCUCCCUUUGGUGAGAAAUUAAAAAACAAAUAUCAGAAAGAACAUGAUACCAUUCAAAACAAACAUGCCUCCCAGACAGUGCAUCAAGGGAACCAUUCUGUUUUGUGAAGUAUUAUCAGACUAUAAAUGGACAGAGUGUGAAAUCAAACCAGAGCUCCAGCAAGAGGAUUCUUCAGGAAAAGCGACAGUCAGAAUGUAUAGCAAUCUUUCAUCUGAAACAGAUAAGAUAUCCACACUUUCAGAUCUAGGGAAAGAAAAAAAAACGGCUUUUGCAGUCUAGAGGAAACCAGAUUGGCAACGACUUUUAUGAAAGAAGAACCUGAAGCAAUGUAGCCUUUAGGUGUCUAUGAAUCCGUAGGAGAGAUGCAUUAUAUAUCAAUGAAAGAAAAAGUAAAAGAAGUAGGUGUGACGAGGCAUGCUCCCAGACCCAGUCACAGUGCCAGCCCACCACCUGUCUUUGAGCAAGCUGCCCACCUUACUCACAUACCAGGCCUUAUUGUCAAUUAAUUAUGGUGUUAAUUAGGCAGGAGGCUGCCCCUCGAGCACCCUGCUGUUCACAGGUGGUAAACACACAACUCUGACCUCCCCUUCAUCAUGUCCUGUGCCUUGCAGCUGUCAUCUCUGAGCUGGUCUAUACUCCGGCCUGAGGCCGGGCAAACUCAGUACACAGUUAGACCUCUCUCAUACUGCCCUGUUCACGGUCUCACUCAUACAGCAUCUCCCUCUCACUGGGGCUUCUAUCGCUCCAUCGCCUGCUCACACCAGGCCUCUCACACUCAUUCGUUUUACCGGGCCUCACUCACACCACCCUGGCCCCUUGGGUGACCACACAGGUCAUCAGGCUUGACCCUGCACUCCUUGGCUCGCCCCUGGUGCAGCCUUCUGGGCCUCUCCCAUGACCCUCAUCUGUGUGGUGGCCAGGCAGUUAAUCAAAUUCUGGGCUGACUUCACCUCUAGCCCCACACCAGGUAACUCAUCCCUCAUUGGGGCCAAUUACUAGCCCCACUUACUCACAGCUCCUUCUGAGCCACCUACUCGGCCUCAGGUCCACAUGCAGCAUAAGGCACCCAAAGGUUUACCUGGGCCUCUCUCCCCCUUCCUCACAGGAGGUCAACACACUCGCCCCCUUCUCUGGGGCUCAACACACUCGUCCCCUCUGCUGGAGCCCCCUAUGGGCUCUGGUGCCUCCCGUGGGCAUGUCUGACCCCACUACUCCCCAAGGUCUUACACCUCAAUGGGCUCAGGUGCCCCUCAUUCGGGAAUGCCUGGCCCCACUAUUCUCCCUGGGCUCAGGUGCCCCUACUUGGGUGUGCCUGGCCUGACUGCUCUCUGGACUUAUAACCCACCAGAACGGUGAGAGCUGGGGUUUUAAGGCACCCCUCCUCACCUUUCACUGUAGAGGUAACUGGCCCAAUAUUUCUUGGGGGCUCCCUCGCCACAAGGAGUCCCACCAGGCCACCCUUCCCCAGCAGGGUGCAGUUUUCAGUCAUACCCAGGACCAGGAGCCUCCUGUCAUCCCUAUAGCUGCUGCCCUUACCUCCAAGUUGUUCCUUGAGCAGCAGGGCAGCCGGGUGAUAACAGCCCUUACGUGGCGAGCACCCCACUGGUGCUGCACCACACACCUUCCCCCUUAAAAUGACUGCUCAGUGGUAUCUCCUGGCUGCCUUCUUUGCAGGCACUUCUCCAGCCUGCCGCAGCCCAUGCUACGUGACAAGCACCCCAGCUGUGCUCCACCACAGUAGGAAGCAAUGAGAACUGAAGUUUUUUUAGACUGCAUGCCAGUAGACUAGACAAGGGGUGCUCAACUCCUGGCUGAAUCCAGCCAUGGCAUCCAGCCCACGGUGCUCCCCACAGGUAAGUAAAUUUGGCAGCAAUUAACACUACCACCCCUGCCUCAUGCACUGGAUUGGGCCCUGCCACAGUGGAUCAGGUCCACUGGCCAGAUCCAGCCAGCAGGAAGACCUGGCACCACCCAUCCAGCCCAUAGUGUGGGCAACCUUUUUACAACUGAACUAAACCUUUAGAUACUCUAAAUUGGCUUAGUUCCAAUGACACUGAUAUUUAUGAAAGUGCUUUGGUCACUGGCAACUCUGAAUAGUUCUGAGUACACCACUGGACCUGCACCUUGCUGCAAAUUAGUUUAAAAACACAAAUGCAUUUCUAACCAUUACAAUUCCAAUCUUGUAUUAACCAAUGUAGUUAGAACGGUCUGAACUCAGAGCCUGAAGGAAUAUAUUUAACUAAGGGGGCUGCCAGAUAUGUUUCUGAGUAUCCAUCACAAUAGUACAUGGAAACCUAAGGAUGAUAUGAAAGAAAUCAAUGUUGUUAACCUUCUACUGUACAUUUUAAUAAAUGAUCCAGUAAUGUGCUUAUCCAACAGUUCAAAACAGCUUCCAAUACCUUCUACAAUGUUGAAAGCUCCAGCUGUUCCCUUUUACCCAAAUAUUUAAGCCUCCAGUUUCUUCCUUAAAGCUUCUAAAAUGCA